GGGGAUGAUCGGUUUCGACGGAUAGCACCUUUACAAUCUGCAAGCAAAGUUUGAUAGAUACUUUUCAAAACUAUCAAAAAACAAAAGCUGAUGACGAAAGUUACAGCCCAGCAGUAGCUUUUAGAGCAAUGUUUGGUGACGGAAACUCCGUUCAACCGAAUUUUGCACUAGCUUAAACUGGUGUCGUUCUGUCUGCUUCUCUAUCGGACGGAUUCGGCAUAAACCCAUAGAGAUACACCAGUGAUCAGUGAUUAGUGAUUGCUGAUUGGAAAAUUUACUAAUCUUACUUUAUACCGUCCUUCCAAUAGGUAAGGAGUAAAGGAAAUAAAAAGAUUGGAUAAGCUUGUAGAUGAUUGUAAAUAAUGCUUUUCGGACGAGGGUUCAAUUCCCUCCAUCUCCACCA
rnacentral:tmRNA from 1 species